GGUUCAAUGAUCAUAAUAUAGAAGGGAUAAAAACCUAAGUUUUGAAGAAUGGGUUGUGUACAAAUAUAGUUAAAAGUUUUGUUUACUAUUGGCAUUUAAAGUACGGUUAAAGGCUUUAUGCAUUAUUGACAUUAAAAUAGAUAUUAUUUCCCAAAAAUCAACGAAGAUAUUUAGUUACUACUUACUAAGAGGAUACAACUUUUCUGAAA
rnacentral:lncRNA from 1 species